CCCUUGGAUUUAUUUAAAUCCAUACCAAUAAAAAUAGAAAAACAUAU
rfam:Smittium mucronatum strain ALG-7-W6 scaffold-1217, whole genome shotgun sequence.